rnacentral:rRNA from 1 species
ACGCACGCUGGCGGCGUGCUUCACCCCUGCCAGUCGAACGGAAAGGCCCUGCUUUUGUGGGGUGCUCGAGUGGCGAACGGGUGAGUAACACGUGAGUAACCUGCCCUUGACUUUGGGAUAACUUCAGGAAACUGGGGCUAAUACCGGAUAGGAGCUCCUGCUGCAUGGUGGGGGUUGGAAAGUUUCGGCGGUUGGGGAUGGACUCGCGGCUUAUCAGCUUGUUGGUGGGGUAGUGGCUUACCAAGGCUUUGACGGGUAGCCGGCCUGAGAGGGUGACCGGCCACAUUGCGACUGAGAUACGGCCCAGACUCCUACGGGAGGCAGCAGUGGGGAAUAUUGCACAAUGGGCGGAAGCCUGAUGCAGCAACGCCGCGUGCGGGAUGACGGCCUUCGGGUUGUAAACCGCUUUCGCCUGUGACGAAGCGUGAGUGACGGUAAUGGGUAAAGAAGCACCGGCUAACUACGUG